AGCAAAAUAAAAAGAAUUUAACAUGUUAUAAAACAAUUUAGCAUGUUAACACUAUUAGUAUCAUAUAAAUACAUAUGUUUACUUUUAUAUAUGUGAUUUAACGGGGUAACGUAAAUCGCCGAAAGAUCAGAAGAAGAAGUUGUUUUAUCACCUCUAAAGUUAUACAUGUAGAACUUUCUUUGAGGUUUAAGUCGGCUCUGCCGUUGGGUCAGACUCCGCCACCACAUCUUUUAUAUAGGCUCCGCCCAAGUUUUUUCUCCGGAAACAAAAUAAGAACAAAAACCAUUCUCAUCAUCCGAUGAAGGCAAUUAAAAGUGAGCACAUAUGAAGGCAGUCCCUAUGACGCAAUCAAAAACACAAGAUACAAACUUUAUAUAGUUUAUGAAACAGAGAAAUCAUAUGAUAUCGCAGUCAAUUUCACAUGCUGGUCUCAUGAAAACCAAAAGAAACCCAACAAAUAAUAGCAGAACAAGAGAUGAAAAGGAAAGCAGGAUACCAGUUUCUGAGGAGUGAAAACCCACUUGGCCCGUUGAGUUGAUUUCUGAAAAUCCGCCAUUACUGAAGAGACAUAACGGUUUCAAAGAUUCGAAACUAAAAAAAUCUGACUUUCAAGUUAAAGGGUCUAUUUUUAUGAAAAUCAAACAUAUAUAAUAUCUAUCAUCUUUUAAACAGUAUGUUCUCGAUCAGUUUUGAACAGAUGCUACAGAUCUUGUCGAUCAAAAUUCAGCAUAUUAUCAAUGGCUAUUUUCUGUUCCAAUUUAAUUUUUACUGCUUUAGCUAUUUUUAUAAUUAUUUUAAAAUGAUUUCUUGAAGGAUUUCAUGGGGAGAGGAAAGAGAAAACGGGAGAGAUGGAUCUGACACAGCAUGUGACAGCAUCUGAUACAGGAAGGGAGGCUGAGGUGAGAGGAUGUUGAUCUGAUGGUGAUACAUGGAUAAAAUCGGAAUGAAAAAAGUGAUAAUGGGAUGAGAUUUGUUUUUUAAAUAUAGUCACUUUUAGGUGCAUAAACACCAAUUACUCUAUAAAAAUUCAUGUAGCUUUAUUUUUUUUUUGUUCAUGGAAACUUGUACACCAUUUCGUGUCCAUCAACCUUAUCCACUAUUUAUUUUCUCUAAAAUCUAUCCACC
rnacentral:lncRNA from 1 species